UCCAGGGUAGCCUAGUGGACAUGGCAUCUGCCCGGUAAGCGGAACACUGGGUUCGAUUCCCAUCCCUGGAC
rnacentral:tRNA from 1 species